GGCAUGGCGCAGCUACCAUGCAGUCGAGCGGGGUGAUGUAGCUUGCUACAUUACCUAGCGGCGGACGGGUGAGUAAUGCUUAGGAAUCUGCCUAUUAGUGGGGGACAACAUUCCGAAAGGAAUGCUAAUACCGCAUACGCCCUACGGGGGAAAGCAGGGGAUCUUCGGACCUUGCGCUAAUAGAUGAGCCUAAGUCAGAUUAGCUAGUUGGUGGGGUAAAGGCCUACCAAGGCGACGAUCUGUAGCGGGUCUGAGAGGAUGAUCCGCCACACUGGGACUGAGACACGGCCCAGACUCCUACGGGAGGCAGCAGUGGGGAAUAUUGGACAAUGGGCGAAAGCCUGAUCCAGCCAUGCCGCGUGUGUGAAGAAGGCCUUUUGGUUGUAAAGCACUUUAAGCGAGGAGGAGGCUACUUGGAUUAAUACUCUAGGAUAGUGGACGUUACUCGCAGAAUAAGCACCGGCUAACUCUGUGCCAGCAGCCGCGGUAAUACAGAGGGUGCGAGCGUUAAUCGGAUUUACUGGGCGUAAAGCGUGCGUAGGCGGCUUUUUAAGUCGGAUGUGAAAUCCCUGAGCUUAACUUAGGAAUUGCAUUCGAUACUGGGAAGCUAGAGUAUGGGAGAGGAUGGUAGAAUUCCAGGUGUAGCGGUGAAAUGCGUAGAGAUCUGGAGGAAUACCGAUGGCGAAGGCAGCCAUCUGGCCUAAUACUGACGCUGAGGUACGAAAGCAUGGGGAGCAAACAGGAUUAGAUACCCUGGUAGUCCAUGCCGUAAACGAUGUCUACUAGCCGUUGGGGCCUUUGAGGCUUUAGUGGCGCAGCUAACGCGAUAAGUAGACCGCCUGGGGAGUACGGUCGCAAGACUAAAACUCAAAGGAAUUGACGGA
rnacentral:rRNA from 1 species